UAUAAUCGGGUAUAAGGCAGACACCGAAGGCGCGGGAUAGCAUUUAAGAAAGUAUCGGUAGGGGAGCAUACUCACAGCGUUGAAUGGUGUACGUAAGUUAUCCUGGAGCGGUGAGUAAAGCAAAUGUAGGAAUAAGUAACGAUAAGGAGGGUUAGAUUCCCUCCCGCUGUAAGACCAAGGUUUCCCGGGCAAUGCCAAUCAGCCCGGGGUCAGUCGGGUCCUAAGUCUAAGCCGAACGGCGAUGGCGAUGGCAGAGACGGUUAAUAUUCCGUCACUGCCGCAUGGGGCGACGUGGAGACGGAGCAGUGAAACCACCGCGGGGCGACGGAAGUCCCCGUUGAAGAGUGUAGGCGUUGAGGAUGGCAGGCAAAUCCACCGUCCGAGCUGAACUUGAUAGUAUGGAGUCUUCUUCGGAAGAAUCCAAUAGUGUGGGUAAUCAUACUCCCGAGAAAAUCCGCUAAGCUUAACCCAUGCGGCACCCGUACCGCAAACGGACACACGUGGUCGGGUAGAACAUACUGAGGCGUUGAGAGAUUCAUGGUUAAGGAACUAGGCAAAUUGACCCUGUAACUUCGGGAUAAAGGGUCCUCGUGAAGAGCGAGGCGCAGAGAAUAGGUCCAGGCAACUGUUUAACAAAAACACAGGGCUGUGCAAACUCGAAAGAUGACGUAUACAGCCUGACACCUGCCCGGUGCCGGAAGGUUAAGAGGAGAUGUCACACUUAUGUGGAAGCAUUGAAUUGAAGCCCCGGUAAACGGCGGCCGUAACCAUAACGGUCCUAAGGUAGCGAAAUUCCUUGUCGGGUAAGUUCCGACCUGCACGAAUGGUGUAAUGAUCCGGACGCUGUCUCAACCAUGAGCUCAGUGAAAUUGUAGUAUCGGUGAAGAUGCCGAUUACCCGCGAUGGGACGAAAAGACCCCGUGAACCUUUACUACAGCUUAGCAUUGACCUUGGUCAUCCGAUGUGUAGGAUAGGCCGGAGGCUUCGAAGCGGGAGCGCCAGCUUUCGUGGAGCCAUCCUUGAAAUACGGCCCUUUGGCUGUCUGAGGUCUAACGCGCGAUGCGCGGACACUGCUUGGUGGGUAGUUUGACUGGGGUGGUCGCCUCCAAAAGCGUAACGGAGGCUUCCAAAGGUGCCCUCGGGUCGAUUGGUAACCGACCUCAAAGAGUGCAAUGGCAUAAGGGCGCUUGACUGGGAGGCAGACAUGCCGAGCAGGCAGGAAACUGGGGCAUAGUGAUCCGGCGGAUGUGUAUGGAAACUCCGUCGCUCAAAGGAUAAAAGGUACUCCGGGGAUAACAGGCUGAUCCCCCCCAAGAGCUCAUAUCGACGGGGUGGUUUGGCACCUCGAUGUCGGCUCGUCACAUCCUGGGGCUGGAGAAGGUCCCAAGGGUUGGGCUGUUCGCCCAUUAAAGUGGCACGCGAGCUGGGUUCAGAACGUCGUGAGACAGUUCGGUCUCUAUCUAUCGUGGGCGUGGGAGUUUUGCGUGGUGCCGUCACUAGUACGAGAGGACCGUGAUGGACAGACCUCCGGUUUACCAGUUGUGCCGCCAGGCGCACCGCUGGGUAUCUGAGUCUGGAUUGGAUAAGCGCUGAAAGCAUCUAAGUGCGAAGCCAGCCGCAAGAUGAGAACUCCAUUGAGGGUCGUCAGAGACGAUGACGUUGAUAGGAUGCAGGUGUAAAGACAGCGAUGUCAAAGCCGAGCAUUACUAAUUGCCC
rnacentral:rRNA from 1 species